rnacentral:sRNA from 1 species
CAAUGAAAUCCGCCUGCCGGCAGGUGAAAUCGCUGAGCGGUGAAAUACGGCAAAGCCGUAUGAAAUGCACU